rnacentral:rRNA from 1 species
AUUGAACGCUGGCGGCAUGCCUAACACAUGCAAGUCGAACGGAGUGGCGGACGGGUGAGUAAUGUCUGGGAAACUGCCCGAUGGAGGGGGAUAACUACGCGAAAGCUUAGCUAAUACCGCAUACUAUCGGAGCGGCCGAUAUCCGAUUAGCUAGUUGGUGGGGUAACGGCUCACCAAGGCGACGAUCCGUAGCUGGUUUGAGAGGACGACCAGCCAAACUGGGACUGAGACACGGCCCAGACUCCUACGGGAGGCAGCAGUAGGGAAUUUUGGGCAAUGGGGGAAACCCUGAUCCAGCCAUGCCGCGUGUGCGAUGAAGGCCUUCGGGUUGUAAAGCACUUUUGGCAGGAAAGCGGUACCUGCAGAAUAAGCACCGGCUAACUACGUGCCAGCAGCCGCGGUAAUUC